rnacentral:lncRNA from 1 species
AAAAUUGAUUUUUGCAGAUAGAAUUAGAAAAUCAAAUAAAAUCAAGGUAUGCACAGGUCAAGAGUACAUAUGAAGACAUGAAAACAAGUGUAGAUGUUUGGGCACAACUGGUCAACAGUAAGACUCGAUGAUGACUACAUAAAAUAACUUAUGUGGAGAUGUUGAAGGAAAAUUGUGAUCUUCCUAAUAUAAUUUCACCACCACUAAUUAAAUAAUAGGGUUUUAUUAUUUUAGGUUCGACCCAUUCGAGACGCAAGUCUCUUAAUUACAAUCCCUUGCUUCAAGGGAAAACCCUUUGAUUCCAUCAUAAAGAAACAGAACGUGUGUGUUUGAUUUUGCAGCUGCUCCUAAGUCCAACCUCAGGAUGCCUACGUAUCCC